AACAAGGAUUCCCCUAGUAACUGCGAGUGAAGGCCAAAAAGCUCAAAUUUUGAAUCUGGCGGUCUCCGCCGUCCGAGUUGUAAUCUAGAGAAGUGCUUUCCGCGCUGGACCGUGUACAAGUCUCCUGGAACGGAGCGUCAUAGAGGGUGAGAAUCCCGUCUCUGACACGGAUCCCCAGUGCUUUGUGAUGCGCUCUCGACGAGUCGAGUUGUUUGGGAAUGCAGCUCAAAUUGGGUGGUAAAUUCCAUCUAAAGCUAAAUAUAGGCGAGAGACCGAUAGCGAACAAGUACCGUGAGGGAAAGAUGAAAAGAACUUUGGAAAGAGAGUUAAACAGUACGUGAAAUUGCUGAAAGGGAAACGCUUGAAGUCAGUCGCGUCGGCUUGAGAUCAGCCUUGCUCUUUUGCGUGGUGUAUUCUCUUGUCGACGGGUCAGCAUCAAUUUUGGCUGCCGGAUAAAGGCAGAGGGAAUGUGGCACCUUUCGAGGUGUGUUAUAGCCCUUUGUUGUAUACGGUGGCUGGGAUUGAGGAACUCAGUACGACCUUCGGGUUUGGGGCUUCGGCCUACAUUCGUGCUUAGGAUGCUGGCAUAAUGGCUUUAAGCGACCCGUCUUGAAACACGGACCAAGGAGUCUAACAUGCCCGCGAGUGUUUGGGUGUUUAAAACCCGAGCGCGUAAUGAAAGUGAAAGUUGGGAUCCCUGUCGUGGGGAGCACCGACGCCCGGACCAGAACUUCUGUGACGGAUCUGCGGUAGAGCGUGUAUGUUGGGACCCGAAAGAUGGUGAACUAUGCCUGAAUAGGGCGAAGCCAGAGGAAACUCUGGUGGAGGCUCGUAGCGAUUCUGACGUGCAAAUCGAUCGUCGAAUUUGGG
rnacentral:rRNA from 1 species